CCCUUAGAUGUUCUGGGCCGCACGCGCGCUACACUGAUGCAUUCAACGAGCCUAUCCUUGGCCGACAGGUCCGGGUAAUCUUUGAAUCUGCAUCGUGACGGGGAUAGAUUAUUGCAAUUAUUAAUCUUCAACGAGGAAUGCCUAGUAGGCGCAAGUCAUCAGCUUGCGUCGAUUACGUCCCUGCCCUUUGUACACACCGCCCGUCGCUCCUACCGAUUGGGUGUGCUGGUGAGAUGUUCGGAUCGGCCGUUUGUCGCGGUUUCCGCGUCAUGUGGCUGAGAAGUUCAUUAAACCCUCCCACCUAGAGGAAGGAGAAGUCGUAACA
rnacentral:rRNA from 1 species